rnacentral:rRNA from 1 species
UACGGAGGGGGUUAGCGUUGUUCGGAAUGACUGGGCGUAAAGCGCGCGUAGGCGGAUCGGAAAGUUGGGGGUGAAAUCCCGGGGCUCAACCCCGGAAUGGCCUUCAAAACUCCCGGUCUUGAGUUCGAGAGAGGUGAGUGGAAUUCCGAGUGUAGAGGUGAAAUUCGUAGAUAUUCGGAGGAACACCAGUGGCGAAGGCGGCUCACUGGCUCGAUACUGACGCUGAGGUGCGAAAGUGUGGGGAGCAAACAGG